rnacentral:rRNA from 1 species
AAAUUGAAGAGUUUGAUCAUGGCUCAGAUUGAACGCUGGCGGCAGGCCUAACACAUGCAAGUCGAGCGGUAGCACAGAGAGCUUGCUCUCGGGUGACGAGCGGCGGACGGGUGAGUAAUGUCUGGGAAACUGCCUGAUGGAGGGGGAUAACUACUGGAAACGGUAGCUAAUACCGCAUAAUGUCGCAAGACCAAAGUAGGGGACCUUCGGGCCUCAUGCCAUCAGAUGUGCCCAGAUGGGAUUAGCUAGUAGGUGGGGUAACGGCUCACCUAGGCGACGAUCCCUAGCUGGUCUGAGAGGAUGACCAGCCACACUGGAACUGAGACACGGUCCAGACUCCUACGGGAGGCAGCAGUGGGGAAUAUUGCACAAUGGGCGCAAGCCUGAUGCAGCCAUGCCGCGUGUGUGAAGAAGGCCUUCGGGUUGUAAAGCACUUUCAGCGGGGAGGAAGGCGUUAAGGUUAAUAACCUCAUCGAUUGACGUUACCCGCAGAAGAAGCACCGGCUAACUCCGUGCCAGCAGCCGCGGUAAUACGGAGGGUGCAAGCGUUAAUCGGAAUUACUGGGCGUAAAGCGCACGCAGGCGGUCUGUCAAGUCGGAUGUGAAAUCCCCGGGCUCAACCUGGGAACUGCAUUCGAAACUGGCAGGCUAGAGUCUUGUAGAGGGGGGUAGAAUUCCAGGUGUAGCGGUGAAAUGCGUAGAGAUCUGGAGGAAUACCGGUGGCGAAGGCGGCCCCCUGGACAAAGACUGACGCUCAGGUGCGAAAGCGUGGGGAGCAAACAGGAUUAGAUACCCUGGUAGUCCACGCCGUAAACGAUGUCGAUUUGGAGGUUGUGCCCUUGAGGCGUGGCUUCCGGAGCUAACGCGUUAAAUCGACCGCCUGGGGAGUACGGCCGCAAGGUUAAAACUCAAAUGAAUUGACGGGGGCCCGCACAAGCGGUGGAGCAUGUGGUUUAAUUCGAUGCAACGCGAAGAACCUUACCUGGUCUUGACAUCCACAGAACUUUCCAGAGAUGGAUUGGUGCCUUCGGGAACUGUGAGACAGGUGCUGCAUGGCUGUCGUCAGCUCGUGUUGUGAAAUGUUGGGUUAAGUCCCGCAACGAGCGCAACCCUUAUCCUUUGUUGCCAGCGGUUAGGCCGGGAACUCAAAGGAGACUGCCAGUGAUAAACUGGAGGAAGGUGGGGAUGACGUCAAGUCAUCAUGGCCCUUACGACCAGGGCUACACACGUGCUACAAUGGCAUAUACAAAGAGAAGCGACCUCGCGAGAGCAAGCGGACCUCAUAAAGUAUGUCGUAGUCCGGAUUGGAGUCUGCAACUCGACUCCAUGAAGUCGGAAUCGCUAGUAAUCGUAGAUCAGAAUGCUACGGUGAAUACGUUCCCGGGCCUUGUACACACCGCCCGUCACACCAUGGGAGUGGGUUGCAAAAGAAGUAGGUAGCUUAACCUUCGGGAGGGCGCUUACCACUUUGUGAUUCAUGACUGGGGUGAAGUCGUAACAAGGUAACCGUAGGGGAACCUGCGGUUGGAUCACCUCCUUA